rnacentral:ncRNA from 1 species
AUAUCAUUUUGAGGAAUUCUAACAGAAGUUUCUAUUGGUAGUGUAAGUUGGGCAAAGUGUCUUAUUUUUUUAAAGUAUUUAAAAGUAAAAUUACAUGUUAAUACGUAGUAUUAAUGGCGAGACUCCUGAGGGAGCAGUGCCAGUCGAAGACCGAGGCUGAGACGGCACCCUAGGAAAGCGAAGCCAUUCAAUACGAAGUAUUGUAUAAAUAGAGAACAGCAG